rnacentral:tRNA from 1 species
GGACUAGUGAUGUAAUUGGCUAGCAUAUCAUCUUUGCAAGAUGAAAGUUAGGGUUCAAGUCCCUCUAGCUCCA